GACAGAGACAGAGAGAGAGAGACAGAGAGA
rnacentral:piRNA from 2 species